rnacentral:lncRNA from 1 species
GUGGUCACGUGACAGGACCGAGCGAUGGGAGGAUUCUGGUGCACCCCGGAAGGAGGAUUUUUAAUUCUUCUGUUUUCUUGUCUAUCGCAAAACAGAGUUUACAUGUAUUUUCCUUUUUUCUUAGCUUAAGAAUUGAAGACUUUGGCCGGAUUAGACCUGGUUGUGUGGAGAGGAGAAUUAAUAACUACAGUGGAGCGAGCCCUCCUGCGAGAGUCAGGAUACUACUAUGCUAGUCCCGACUCUGCCCCAAAUGCCUGGAGAGACUUUGGCUAAGUCACUUUUUCUUUCCGCGGGCUGUUUACCGUUGGUAAAAGGAGAGGGUCACCCACUCACUCCACAAACAUUUGUUGAGUCAUUGGUUAUAGCGGGAACAAGACAGGCAAAGUUCUUCCUGAAUUCUGGUCGGAGAUGGAUAACGGAAACAACUUUGUUGAGGUUCCCAAUGUGCCCGGCACUGAUGUCUUUAAAUAUUUAUGGUUACAUCAAAGAGAAAGUCACUAUGCUAAUCUUUUUUUUUCUUUCUUUUCUUUUUUCUCAGGGUCUCGUUCUGUCGCCCUGGCCGGAGUGCAGUGUCAUGAUCAGGGCUCGACCUCCCGGGCUCAAACAAUCCCCCUACUUCAGCCACCCAAGUAGCUAGGACCACAGGUGCGUGCAGUCGCGACGGGCUUUUUUUUUUUUUUUUUUUUUUUUUUUUAGUUGAGUCAGGUGUUUUACUGAGCUCAAGUGAUUCUACCGCCGCGGCCUCCCAAAGUGUUGGGAAUACAGUAAUGAGCCAAGGCGCCAGGCUGCUAAUUUUUUUUUUUUGAGACAGAGUCUCGCUUUGUCGCCCAGGCUGGAGUGCAGUGGCGCGAUCUUGGCUCACUGCAAGCUCCGCCUCCCGGGUUCACGCCAUUCUCCUGCCUCAGCAUCCCGAGUAGCUGGGACUACAGGCGCCCGCCACCACGCCCAGCUAAUUUUUUGUAUAUUUGGUAGAGAUGGGGUUUCACCGUGUUAGCCAGGAUGGUCUCGAUCUCCUAACCUCGUGAUCCGCCCGACUCGGCCUCCCAAAGUGCUGAGAUUACAGGCGUGAGCCACCGCGCCCGGCACUAGGCUGCUAAUCUUGUAGUAACCUGCUUUUAACAUUUGCUUAUCUCUCUCUUUUUUUUUGGUGACGGAGUCUCGCUCUGUCGCCCAGGCUGGAAUGCAGUGGCGCGAUCUCGGCUCACUGAAACCUCCGCCUCCUGGGUUCAAGCAAUUCUCCUGCCUCAGCCUUCCGAGUAGCUGGGACUACAGGCGCCCGCCGCUCGGCUAGUUUUUCUGUAUUUUAGUAGCGCCGGGGUUUCACCUUGUUGCCCAGGCUGGUCUCGAACUCCUGAGCUCAGACAAUCCGCCCGCCUCGGUCUUCCAAAGUGCUAGGAUUACAGGCGUGAGCCACCGUGCCCAACCUUCUUAUUUAUCUCUUUAAAACCAAAUAACUUUUUUUCAUUAUAUCUGAUUUUACAGUUAUUACCCAGCACACUUACUGAGCGCUCCACUUCCCAGGCACUAUUUAAUGAUCUGGAGGUUAUAGCAAUCAUCCCAAAUCUCUGGAAGGAGACAGACAAGCACAUAAAUACAUAGCAAUAUUGUGCAGAGAGAAGAGCUGGGAAGGAAAAUGAAACCCAGUAAGGGGAUGGCUAGUGAGAGGGGUGUUCUUUGAGAUAGGUGAUUGGAGGAGGCCUCUCCAAGGAGAUCUGGACUGUAGUGACUGGCAUGAAAAUUUAACUAGGAGUGCUUUCUACACCGAAGGAUCCCUGAAGAAGCAGCCUGCCUGGGAUGUUUAAGGAACCACAGGAAGCUCAUUGCCAGAGGAGUGAGCCAGGGCAGAAAUGUUCAGAGAAAAAGCAGGAGCUUCCCUUUGCCAACCAGGCUCGGAUCAAGUCAUCUUCCCAGCCUCAGUUUCACUUAGAUCCCCACUCCUAAGUACUUUCCCCUGUUUAAUUUUCUUCACAACAUUUAUGUAAUCUGAAAUUAUCUUGUUCAUUUUUUCAUAACUGAAUCACCUGCCCUCCUCCUCCUUCUCUCUCUGUCAUACACAUGCCAACUAGAAAAUAAGUUCCGUGCAUCAGAGCCUGCCCAUCUUAUUCACCUGUAUCCCCAGAAUCUAGAAUGGUGCCUGGCAUAAUAGAUAUAAUAAAUAUGUGAUGACUGAAAGAACCAGAAGAGACCGCCAGGAGGAAACAAGCCUACUCCAGCAGUUUUCAGACAGUUUUGGUCUCAAGACCCCUUUACACUCCUAAAAAUUAUUGAGGAUCCCAAAGUUUUUGUUUAUGUGGGUUAAGUCUGCUAAUAUUUAUCUGAUAAGUUAAAACUGAGAAUUUUAGGCUGGAGGCAGUGGCUCAUGCCUGUAAUCCCAGCACUUUGGGAGGCCGAGGCAGCCGGAUCACAAGGUCAGGAGAUCAAGACCAUCCUGGCUAACAUGGUGAAACCCCAUCUCUACUAAAAAUACAAAAAAUUAGCCAGGCGUUGUGGCGGGCGCCUGUAGUCCCAGUUACUUGGGAGGCUGAGGCCGGAGAAUGGGGUGAACCCAGGAGGCAGAGCUUGCAGUGAGCCGAGAUCAUGCCACUACACUGCAGCCUGGUUGAGAGCAAGACUCCGUCUCAAAAAAAACAAAAACAGAAUUUUAAAAAUCAAUUCAUUAAAAAAUAAUUCAUUAAAUGUUAACAAAAACAAUCUUUAUUAAAACUAAUACUCUAUUUUCUAAAAUAAGGAAUAAGUAAAAAGUAUGGCAUCAUUUUACUUUUUUGCAAAUCUCUCUCUAUAUAUAUAUAUUUUUUUUGAGACAGGGUCUUACUCUGUUGCCCAGGCUGCAGUGCAGUUUCACAAUUACAGCUCACCAUAACUUCCGCCUCCCAGGCUCCAGCAAUUCUCCCAAUCAGCCUCCCAAGUAGCUGGAACUACAGGCAUGUGCCAACACACCUGGCUAAUUUUUUGUAGAGAUGGGGUCUUGCCAUGUUGCCCAGGCUGGUCUUGAACUCCUGGGCUCAAGCAGUCCACCUACCUCGGCCUCCCAAAGUGCUGGAAUUAUAGGAGUGAGCCACCGUGCCCAGCCUUUCAAGUCUCAUUAAUAUCCAGUUUACCUAACCUCAUUGUAAAUUUCCUGCGAACAUGGUCAGUGGUAUUUCUCUUGCAGUCCUCCUAGAGUACUGCACAAAAAAGCACUAACAUUUUUUGGAUUUUGCUGAAAACCCAUCACUUCAUUUAUAAGAUGAGAGAACACUGCCUUAGAAAAAUUACUAAGAACAAGAUAAUCUAUGUAGAGGUUUAAUACUGUGCCUUGCAUAAACUAAGUUGCUAAGGAGUGACACGAUGUAACUCCUAUUUUUAAUUUUUAGAGAUAAGGUCUCACUAUGUUGCCCAGGCUAAUCUUGAGCUCCUGGCCUCAAGUGAUCCUCCCACCUUGGCCUCCCAAAAUUCUGAGAAUACAGGCAUGAGCCACUGGGCCCGGCCUGAUUUAUGUUUUAAAAUAAUCUUUCUAGUCAUACAGAUAACAGGAGAACAAGUGGAGAAGGCAGGGAGACCAGUGAAAGAGAGUAAUCUAGGAGUGCAGAGAGGAUGGUGACUUGUACCAGGGCAGUUGAGACAGCGGUGGUGAGACUUGGGUCAAAUAAACAUGAUUUGUUUAACAACCAACUGGUUGGGAAUGGAAUGUUAGUAUGAUUUGAAUGUACCUUUUUUUGUUUUGAGAGGGAAUCACGCCCUGUCACCCAGGUUGGUUUUGGAGUGCAGUGGUGCAAUGUUGGCUCACUACAACCUCUGCCUCCCGGGUUCAAGUGAUUUCUCCUGCCUCAGCCUCCCAAGUAGCUGGGACUACAGGCACAUGCCACCACACCCAGCUAGUUUUUGUAUUUUUAGGAGACACAGGGUUCGUGAAGUUCCUGGCAGCUAGAUGUACAUUCAGUGACAACUAUUAAAUUUCAUCUCAGCCAGGCACGGUGGCUCACAUCUGUAAUCCCAGCACUUUGGGAGGCCUAUACAGGUGGAUCACUUGAGGCCAGGAGUUCGAGACCAGCCUGGGCAACAUGGCAAAACCCAUCUCUACUAAAAAUACAGAAACUAGCUGGGCGUGGUGGUGUGCACCUGUAGUCCUAGCUACCUGGGAGGCUGAGGCAUGAGAAUCGCUUGAACCUGGGAGGCAGAGGUUGCAGUCAGUUGAGAUCGUGCUACUGCACUCCAGCCUGGGUGAGAGAAUGAGAUUGUCUCAAAAAAAAAAAUUUCAUCUCAACCAGAUUAGGUAAGCCACAUGAAACCAGGGCCUGUGCUAUGCUUUUUGUAUACCACACACUAGUAAACACAGGAGUUCCACUGUUCCUUUAUCCAUAAAAAGCCUUUGACAGAAUCCUUCUAUCAAAGCCCGACUGAGGCUCUGUAUCACCCAGAAUAAAUCUGUUUUCAGUUUUCUUCAUAAGCCUGUAAUUCCAACCCUCUAAUUCCAUCUUUCCUGAUGAAGUGACUUCUGAACAUGAAUAACCAGGGAAACCUGUGUUUGCUCACUACACUCACCGGGUUUUAAUUCUAAUAAAUACCACAAACAAGCAUGCCCAUUUCCAUUCCCUCUGUAAACCAGUUUAGAUAUACAAUAUUUUUGCAUGUCAAAUUUCUUAAAUGUUAAAAUUAACAGUAACAAAGAGCUUUUCCUGUUAAACAUUUUCAAAGUUAAAAAAAGGGCACACAUCCCAUUGAUGGAUUAAUUUGAUUCAUCGGAUACAAAAGUAAAAACGAGGAGAGCUUUGUUCUAAGUCUGCACCAAUGGAAUUAUGUUGAUUGGUUAUAGUUUCAGGAGGUGAGCAAACAGUUUUACCCGUUGACAGUCCCCGUUUUUUUUUUUUUUAGGAGAUGGGGUCUUGGUUUGUUGCCCCAGCUAGAGUGCAGUGGCUCAUAGCUCACUCAUAGCUCACUGCAGCCUCAAACUCCUGGGCUCAAGCAAUCCUGCCCCAGCCUUCUGAGUAGCUGGGACUACCGGUGCACCACCACAACACCCAGCUUAUUUAAAAUUUUAUUUAUUUAUUUUUGAGACGGAGUCUCGCUGUUGCCAGGCUGGAGUGCCGUGGCAUGAUCUUCGCUCACUGCAACCUCCACCUCCAGUGAUUCUCCUGCCUCAGCCUCUCAAGUAGCUGGGAUUACAGGCAUACACCACCAUGCCCAGCUAAUUUUUGUAUUUUUAGUAGAGACGGGGUUUCACCAUGUUGGCCAGGAUGGUCUCGAUCUCCUGACCUCAGGUGAUCCACCUGCCUCGGCCUCCCAAAGUGCUGGGAUUACAGGCGUGAGCCACUGCACCCAGCCUUAAAAAAUUUUUUAUAGAGACAGGGUCUCACUAUGUUGCCCAGGCUAGUCUCAAACUCCUGGGCUCCAAGUUGUCCUCCCACAAUGUCUCCCAAAGUGCUGAGAUUACAGGCAUGAGCCAUUGCAUCUGCUGUCCCCCCCGCCACCUGCUUUUUGUUUUUUUUGAGACUGAGUCUAGCUCUGUCGCCCAGGCUGGAGUGCAGUGGUACGAUCUUGGCUCACUGCAACGUCCGCCUCCUGGGUUCAAGCAAUUCUCCUGCCUCAGCCUCCCAAGUAGCUGGGAUUACAGGCAUGCGCCACCACGCCUGGCUAAUUUUUUUUGUAUUUUUAGUAGUGACGGGGUUUCACCAUAUUGGCCAGGCUGGUCUCAAACUCCUGACCUUGUGAUCCGCCUGCCUUGGCUUCCCAAAGUGGUGGGAUUACAGGUGUGAGCCACCGUGCCUGGCCUGAGACAGGUUCUUGCUCUUUCACCCAGGGUAGAGUGCUGUGGCAUGAUCAGGGGGCUCACUGCAGACUUGACCUCCAGACUCAAGCAAUCUUCCCACGUCAGCCUCCCCAGUAGCUGGGCUCAGCUGACAGUCCCUUUUAUGAUCGUUUCUUUUUUCAGCACACUGUUGCUGGCUUGAAUUCUUUUUAAAAUUUAAGAAAAUAGAGACAAGGGUCUAACUAUGUUGCCCAAACUGGUCUCAAACUCCUGGCCUCAAGCAAUCCUACUGCCUUGGCCUCUCGGAAUGCUGGGAUUACAGGCAUGAGCCACUGUGCUUGGCCUGUGGUCAUGUUUCUUACUUCAGUACUUCAAAUAAAUUCUACAUCCAUUCAAGUCACUGAACUGAAAAAGAGCACUGCAGUGUACCAGUGCAGCAGCCAGACCACCUGGCUUGAACUUUGAGCUACCAGUUACUUGCUCUGUGACAUCAGUGGCAUGUUACUAAACUUCUCUUGUGCCUCGUUUCCCUCAUCCGUCAUAUGAGGGUAAUAACAGUACCUGUCUCAUUGGGUAGGACUCAAUAAUUUAACACCUGAAAACACUGAGGACAGUGCCUGGCAGAUGGUAAGUCAACAAUGGUUACUAUUAUUCUGACUGAUUCAUUUUGGAAAUCAUGGGCCAAGCCACUAUUACCCAAACUGAUGAGCUCAAUCCCUGAGUACCUUUAAGUGAUGAGGAACAUUGAGAAAAUACAUAAGCCACUGUGCCCCAAUUUAAUUACAUAGUUCAUACAACAUGGCUACAGAGACGAAUGAUAUUCUAGUAAUAAGUUACUGGGUUUGUAGCAAUAUGUAAGUAAAUAUCAGAGCCACACCAGAGAGCACAACAAGUUGCAUUUAUUGUUUCUGACAAGUGCAUAGUAAUUUUCAGUUUGCUCAUGUUCCUAGCAUCACAAAUCUGAGUUACAAUUUUGCUUCUCAAUGAAAAACAUAUACUCUGAAAAGUGAUUAGGAAGUUCUAAAAAUUUUAAUCAUUUAUAGAGUAUCUUAAAAAUCCUUAUCAAGUAAGAUAUUAACUUUACCUUUAUAAAUCUUUGUGUGAAAUGAAAAAAAAAUCAAGGCAUACAAAUUUCAUUGUGUUCUACAUUUUUAAAUACCAUCCUUUGUCUCCGUUAAAAGAUUUUCAUCCAUUUAUUCAAAAACCUUUUAAGUUCAACUGUCCAAUUUAAGACAGAGUGAAGACAUUUUUGAGUAUCUGAACUAAGCAUUGUCUUGACUGAAACGAAGUAAGAACUCAAUGAGAGUCCUUGUGGGCCUCCCAGUCAUGCCUUUCCGUAGAUAGGGAACUUCAUCUUUGUUGGUCAUCACGCCUGCUAUGUCUAAAUGUGCCCACUUAGGAUGAGUUACGAAUUCUUUCAGGAAUGCUGCAGCUGUACAUGCUCCUGCAGAUCUGAAGAGAAAGACAAAAAGCACUUUACAACCCCAUGUAAAUGUGCACUGAGAUCCCACAUUUUUGCUAAGUACAUUCUAUAACCAAAGAACAAGAGUCAAGCUUGUAAGACCUAUUAAGAUGCUAACCCACAUAUCAGUUUCAGAAUAUUUAUUUUCAGAUAUUGCUUUAAGCAGUAAAGGAUAAAUUCUAUAUUCCUUUUUGCUAUGGUAAUGAAUUCCCAUAUUUUCCAUCUCUUUCCCUUACCAUUUAUUGAAAAUUACCAUUAGAUUAGAAAUAUGCAAAUUUUGAAAUCUGGUUGAAGAAAUACUUGAAAAUUCAAGACAUUAAAAAUCUUACAAGCACUACACCAAAAGGAAAUUAAAUAGUUAAACCUUUUAUAUAAGGGGAUAAAAUUGAAAAUAGCUAUUUUGGCAAUCAAGGAUGAUUGUAUAAAUGUACAUUUAGCUUAGCUUACAUACCUGUAUUUUCCAAUGUUGUUAACAUCAGCAAGCUGGCAAUCUACAACCUGUCUUGUAUAAUGUUCGAAGAGAGGCAUCCUCCAGACACGGUCCCCUGUUUCAAUGCUGGCCUAGAGAACAGGUAUGACAGGUGGAAGAGUGGAUGAGGCAGGUUGUGGGAAAUUCAUGGCAUUAACAUGCUCAAUGCAUGAAGGAAGAGUUGUUCUAACCUGUUACUCUAAAACAU